CCAUCCAAACUUGAGGGUCCCCGAACGGGACAAGCGGUAGAAAAUGAAUGGAUGGAUGAACGGUUCCUGCACUGCUGCUCCUUCUCCUGGACUCGCUAUUUGCGGGUCUUCCUCAUCUGCUGGCGUUUGCUUGCGCUCACUGAAUGCUGAUGAGGAAGAACCAUAGGAGGAACGCACCGCGGUGUGGACCAAACUUUUUUAGGGCCAUUGGGGUAAUUUGAAAUUAUUACAAUUACAAUAUUGUGUGACUCAUUGCUUUUAAAAAUGUUUUGGGGUUAGUUCAUAUUCAUUAGUUCCGUGUACGCAUAAUCAUUUUGUCAUACAGCUACUGUGGGCUGAGUUUGGGCUGUAGCGGGCUGCGGGCCCUUAGAAUUGUUAUCACCUUUCCCCCCUAUACGACGGCCCUGUCUGUCAUUGAAAAACACAAAUUCUCAGUAUAAAUGCUCAACUGUGUAGCAAACUAAUUGGUGAGACGUCUCCAGUCAUGUACAAACCCCAUUUCCACAUGAGUUGAGAAAUUGUGUUGGAUGUAAAUAUAAACGGAAUACAAUGAUUUGCAAAUCCUUUUCAACCCAUAUUCAGUUGUAUGCACUACAAAGACAAGAUAUUUGAUGUUCAAACCCCCAAAUUUUUUUUUUUGUGCAAAUGAUAAUUAACUCAGAAUUUCAUGGCUGCAACACGUGCCAAAGUAGUUGGGAAAGGGCAUGUUCACCACUGUGUUACAUCCCCUUUUCUUUUAACAAAUCUCAAUAAACGUUUGGGAACUGAGGAAACUAAUUGUUGAAACUUUUUAAGUGGAAUUCUUUCCCAUUCUUGUUUUAUGAAGAGCUCCAGUCGUUCAACAGUCCGGGGUCUCCGCUGUCGUAUUUCACGCUUCAUAAAGGGCCAGACAUUUUCGAUGGGAGACAGGUCUGGACUGCAGGCGGGAUAGGAAAGUACCCGCACUCUUUUUUUUACGAAGCCACGUUGUUGUCACACGUGGUGAAUGUGGCUUGGCAGUGUCUUGCUGAAAUAAGCUGAAAAAGACGGUGCUUAGAUGGCAGCAUAUGUUGUUCCAAAACCUGUAUGUACCUUUCAGCAUUAAUGGUGCCUUCACAUAUGUGUAAGUUACCCAUGCCUUGGGCACUAAUGCACCCCCAUACCAUCACAGAUGCUGGCUUUUGAACUUUGCGUCGAUAACAGUCUGGAUGGUUCGUUCCCCUUUGGUCCGGAUGACACGAUGUCCAAUACUUCCAAAAACAAUUUGAAAUGUGGACUCGUCAGACCACAGAACACUUUUCCACUUUGCAUCACUCCAUCUUAGAUGAUCUCGGUCCCAGAGAACCCGGCGGCGUUUCUGGAUGUUGUUGAUAAAUGGCUUUCACUUUGCCUAGUAGAGCUUUAACUUGCACUUACUGAUGUAGCGACGAACUGUAUUUAGUGACAGUGGUUUUCUGAAGUGUUCCUGAGCCCAUGUGGUGAUAUCCUUUAGAGGUUGAUGUCAGUUUUUGAUACAGUGCCGUCUGAGGGAGCGAUGGUCACGGUCAUUCAAUGUUGGUUUCAUGCCGCUUACGUGGAGUGAUUUCUCCAGAUUCUCUGAACCUUUUGAUGACGUGGCGCAGUGGGAGAGUGGCCGUGCGCAACCCGAGGGUCCCUGGUUCAAAUCCCACCUAGUACCAACCUCGUCACGUCCGUUGUGUCCUGAGCAAGACACUUCACCCUUGCUCCUGAUGGGUGCUGGUUGGCGCCUUGCAUGGCAGCUCCCUCCAUCAGUGUGUGUGAAUGUGUGUGUGAAUGGGUAAAUGUGGAAGUAAUGUCAAAGCGCUUUGAGUACCUUGAAGGUAGAAAAGCGCUAUACAAGUACAACCCAUUUAUCAUUUAUGAUAUUAUGGACCGUAGAUGUUGAAAUCCCUAAAUUUCUUUAUUGCACUUUUAGAAACAUUUUUCUUGAACUAUUUGACUAUUUGCUCACGCAGUUGUGGACAAAGGGGUGUACCUCGCCCCAUCCUUUCUUGUGAAAGAAUGAGCAUUAUUUGGGAAGCUGUUUUUAUACCCAAUCAUGGCACCCACCUGUUUCCAAUAAGCCUGCACACCUGUGGGAUGUUCCAAAUAAGUGUUUGAUGAGGAUUCCUCAACUUUAACAGUAUUUAUUACCACCUUUCCCAACUUCUUUGUCACAUGUUGCUGGCAUCAAAUUCUAAAGUUAAUGAUUAUUUGCAACAAAAAAAAGUUAUCAGUUUGAACAUCAAAUAUGUUGUCUUUGUAGCAUAUUCAACUGAAUGUGGGUUGAAAAUGAUUUGCAAAUCAUUAUAUUUCAUUUAUAUUUACUCCUAACACAAUUUCCCAACUCAUAUGGAAAGGGGGUUUUUACAAUAAGCAGGUAGAACAACUAUUUGAACGGAUGUCUCUCAUACCCGACACAAUCAUUUGCAACUCCUCCACUCUGGCUGCAGAACAAUACAGACGCAGUUUUUCCCAGAUGCCAUAAUUAAACUAACAGUACCAAAACUGCAAAACCAGUUUCAUUACUGGCAAUUACAUAAUCAAACCUAACCCAGCCCAACUAAUGAAGGCGGUACAAGUCAUGUUGCCAUGCUUGUUAAGAAGAGACAGAGACCAGGACAUCAGGAGACAAGUCAAGCUUCAGUACGGAAAUACAUUGGACAUCACCGGUCUCAAACGCCACCAUGAUCAAGACUUUCAUUCUUAUGCUUCUGCUUGUCGGAGCCAACAGUCAAACUGUUGAUUGGGCCCCAGAAGAAUCUGGCCACCCUGGAGACGGUGAUAGCAGUGGGCUGCCUCCUCCCAACACUGAUCUGUCUGAUUUGCCUGAAGACCUGGAGUUAACUGUUACGUUAAAAAAUCCAAUCCCAAUGAAUACCAAACUUGUUUGUAAGGUUGAAGGUCAACGUAUCACAAUUAAGAUUGUCCCGCUUGAUACCACCCACACCCCAUUGAUGACCGUUUGACUUUGACAUUAAUAUCUGACAAUCAUGUUCCUGUUCUACCUUUCAAGCAGUUAUUCAAUUGCUAACCACUAGGGGCUUUGUGUUUGGAAGUUGGCACAUUCAGGGCGAAGUGUAGCGUUGUUCCUUAGGAGGAUAGAUUGGAAAGAAUAUUAUAUUUCAUAAUAUGUGUUCAUUCAAAAAAGAGGAGGAACAAAGCCACAUUUUGGUUUGGAAAUGUAUUGGUGAAAAGUCUUUAAAUGUGCUCUCUGGUAGUUGUAAGCUUUUUCUGUCAGCAAUCCAUCAUUAAAAAUAUCAAAACAUU